GUCCAGAGUUCAAAUCCCAGCAACCACAUGGUGGCUCACAACCAUCCAUAACGAAAUCUGACUCCCUCUUCUGGAGUGUCUGAAGACAGCGACAGUGUACUUACAUAUAAUAAAUAAAUAAAUAAAAUCUUUAAAAAAAAAAAAAAAGAGCACUGGCUGCUCUUCCAGAGGUCCUGAGUUCAAUCCCAACAACCACAUGGUGGCUCACAGCCAUCUGUAAUGAGAUCUGAUGCCCACUUCUGGUGUCUGAAGACAGCUACAUUGUACUCACAUAUAUAAAAUAAAUAAAUAAAUUUAAAAAAAAAAAAAAAAAAGAAUGUAUUGUAAAAUUUAUCUUUUUAGUUGUGGUUUUAAGUCUAUUUUACAUUUGGAAUUAUUUAAUUAAUAAAACAUUUUUAUUAAAUUUUUUCUUGUUUCAUUAUAUAUUUUAUUAUUUAAAUGUCUGACAUUUUUGUGCUUGUAUAAAAUUCAUUUUAAUUACUCUCAUCUCCCAUUCCUUUGUCUACCCUAAAAAAUUCUGUUUCUACAUUCAUAUCUUUUUGUUUUGUUUUGAAACUUACUGGGCCAUCUCUGUAACCAUAGGUGUGCAACUAUGUAUUGGAUUUUGGUUGGGUUCACAAUUGGGUAUAACCUGAAGAGAGUGACUAUCUCUCUCCCAGAACUUUUCAGUAGCCAGUAGUUUAGCAGGGAGGGUUGGGGCCCCAUAAGCCCUUACCCAUCCAUAACUGAUUGUUGACAGUGUCUUGUAGGGGCCUAGGCCUGUAAAGGAACCUGAUGUGGUGGUUUCAAGAUUGCAGUAUCAGUGUCAGACCCAGAAGAAGGCAUUUUCUAACCCUUCUUCCUGUCUUCCAACUGUGAAGGUUUUUCUGCCCUCUUCUGUAAUGUUCCCUGAAACUUUUGAGUGUGUGAUGUAAACAUCUUGUGUAUAUUCUAAGUCACUUAUUCUCAGCAUCCUGGGCAGCCAUGAGUCAUUGCAUUUACAACCAUUCACUGCAAAGAGAGGCACUGUCUAUUGGUAUGAGCAUAGGUAUUUCAAGGGCAGUUUGACGCUAUGUCAACUUAAGUAUUAAGUUCCCCACUAGGGCCUAUGGCUUUCUUAGCCAUAUAUCUCUAGUUUAGUUUACAGUCCAUGUGGGUUUCUUCCUAUGUAGCCCAAACUACAUGGUAAUCCUCGGCCUCAGCUUCCUAAGUACUGGGGUUGUAGGCAUGAGCCACCACACUUAAUAAUC
rnacentral:lncRNA from 1 species